rnacentral:rRNA from 1 species
UACGUAGGGUGCGAGCGUUAAUCGGAAUUACUGGGCGUAAAGCGUGCGCAGGCGGUUUCGUAAGACAGCUGUGAAAUCCCCGGGCUUAACCUGGGAACUGCGGUUGUGACUGCGAGACUAGAGUCAGGCAGAGGGGGGUGGAAUUCCACGUGUAGCAGUGAAAUGCGUAGAGAUGUGGAGGAACACCGAUGGCGAAGGCAGCCCCCUGGGCUAUGACUGACGCUCAUGCACGAAAGCGUGGGGAGCAAACAGG